AGGUCGAUUUACGUCUAAUUAUUUGGACUAACAAAAACAAUGCUAGUUGUGAAUCGAAACAAAAACAAACAUUGGAAAACGUGGUGUAUACCGGUGUGGAAGGCUACCGAUUGCUGUUUGGCCGACACUCUCCUUCCGUUACUAAACGCAAAAAGAAGUUAUUUUGCCAUUUUGGAUGGAGACGGUUAAAAUAAAACAAAAUGUUAUUACUGGCUGAAGGACCAAAAUUGAAUGGACAGAGAACACGGUUGUCAAAACUCAAACAGAAGUUGUGUCACUCAGCUAUGUUAAAACAUAAAACUGAAGGCAGAAGCAACAAAUACAACAUGUGAAGAAUGAAGCAGCAGCGUAACUAAAACUCGGGAGGAGAUGUUGAUGGCGUCAAGGGAAUUUAUGCCAUUCAGAGGGACAUAAGCAAUAAUCAUGAGGAACUGGUUUCUCUUAAAAAAAUGAAAUUUUAAAUUGCUGAAUUGUUUCUGGAACUUUUAAUUGAUUUUACAUGUGAUGGUGUUCAGUGAGUCUAUGAAAUUUAUUAUUACACAUAUCAUGUAAGAUAUAAAUUGUCAUAUGAAUUAUAAUACCAUGCCCAGUUAAUAUAUUGUACUUCCUGAUGAAUAAUAAAUAUUUGUGAAUGUUCUUUGUGUUUUAUUCAUUGAAAACUAGUGUCAUAGCAACUGUUAUUAAAUACCAUU